UAAAAAAUUUUCUAAACUGUG
rnacentral:piRNA from 1 species